rnacentral:rRNA from 1 species
GACGGAGGAUGCAAGCGUUAUCCGGAAUGAUUGGGCGUAAAGCGUCCGCAGGUGGCAGUUCAAAUCUGCUGUCAAAGACCGGGGCUUAACUUCGGAAAGGCAGUGGAAACUGAACAGCUAGAGUAUGGUAGGGGCAGAGGGAAUUCCUGGUGUAGCGGUGAAAUGCGUAGAGAUCAGGAAGAACAUCGGUGGCGAAGGCGCUCUGCUGGACCAUAACUGACACUCAGGGACGAAAGCUAGGGGAGCGAAUGGG